GGUGUAUAGAUCAGUUGGUAGAGUGCUUGUCUCAUAUGAACAAGGCCCUAGGUUCAAUCCCCAGCACCA
rnacentral:tRNA from 1 species